rnacentral:lncRNA from 1 species
CUGGUUUUAUCUCUUCUAGAUGAGUGGGAUCUGAGGUCUUCAGAGGUGCUUAGAAUAGCUGACUCUCCAACCCACUCUUUCCUAUCCCUUCUCCAGCUAAUCUCAGAAAUGAGCUGAAACUCAUUCAUCACCCAUCACCAGUUUCCCUCUCAGUCCUUAUUCCUAAUUCAGGUUCUGGAUGAGCCCUGCCUACCCAGUAUGUAUUUUGGUAGCUAAGGUGGCACACAGAUCCUGGCCAACACAGCUGACCUCACUCUAGGCCCUCACCCCACGUCUAAGUCACUAACAGUCUGCAUUUGCUCAUGUGACAUUCUCAUUUGUUCACAACUUAAACCACAGGGAACGUUUCAGAAGAAUAUGUACUGAGAUAAGGAAAGACUGGGUCAGUCUCCAGCAACUUGUACUUUUCGCUUUCUCUUAUCAGCAGACUAUCCUAUUGACAUUGUUCAUGCUUGAGGACACACAGCAGCACACACACAUUAAAUGAAUCAUUAGGCAUGCAAAAAAAAAGGGGUGGGGGAGAGAGACCCAAAAUGAUUGCAAGUAAAGUGAAUAUGUCAUUAAAGCCCUCGAGGCAUAUUUUGCUAGACUAAAAUCUGGCUUUCUUAUUAUGCUACCUUAUCUUGAUUUUCAGGUAGUUAAUAAUUCUUUAAAAUAGUGCCUGGAAAAUAAUAGAUUCUUGACCCUCAAAAUACAAAUUAUGUAAUUCUAUAAUAAGAUCUUUCCCAGUGACGUACAGUCAGUAAGCCUUUACUAUUUACGUAAUGAUAUAAUUGACCAAAACAUUACUGCCUAGAGAUUCUUC